AGUGGUUGAGUGGUAAAACAGUUGCCCGACGACUCGCCGAGUGCCGGUUCGAAUUCCG
rnacentral:tRNA from 16 species